UAAAGAUCGACUUUUCGUUCUAAUGAUCACUUUGGGCAGGGAUAGUAACAAACAAUGUGCAUUAGCACGAGGAGGCAACACACAUGGAACAAGGUACAGUGAAAUGGUUUAACGCAGAAAAAGGCUUCGGAUUCAUCGAGCGCGAAGGUGGAGAAGACGUAUUCGUACAUUUCUCCGCAAUCCAAUCUGAAGGCUUCAAAUCUUUAGACGAAGGUCAAAAAGUAACUUUUGACGUUGAGCAAGGCGCACGCGGACCUCAAGCUGCAAACGUUCAAAAAGCUUAAUUUUGGACUAACAUACCGAAACAGACUCCAAAAGAGUCUGUUUUUUU
rnacentral:other from 1 species